rnacentral:rRNA from 1 species
CAGCCGCCGCGGUAAUACCGGCGGCCCGAGUGGCGGCCACUAUUAUUGGGCUUAAAGCGUCCGUAGCCGGGUUGGUUAGUCUCCCGGGAAAUCUGGCCGCUUAACGGUCAGAAUUCCGGGAGAUACUGCCAGCCUAGGGACCGGGAGAGGCCGAGGGUAUUCCCGGAGUAGGGGUGAAAUCCUAUAAUCCCGGGAGGACCACCUGGGGCGAAGGCGCUCGGCUGGAACGGGUCCGACGGUGAGGGACGAAGGCCAGGGGAGCAAACCGGAUUAGAUACCCGGGUAGUCCUGGCUGUAAACGAUGCGGACUUUGUGUCGGACAAGCUAUGAGCUUGUCCGGUGCCGGAGGGAAACCGUUAAGUCCGCCGCCUGGGGAGUACGGCCGCAAGGCUGAAACUUAAAGGAAUUGGCGGG